AGAACGAACGCUGGCGGCAGGCUUAACACAUGCAAGUCGAGCGCCGUAGCAAUACGGAGCGGCAGACGGGUGAGUAACGCGUGGGAACAUACCCUCCGGUACGGAAUAACUCAGGGAAACUUGUGCUAAUACCGUAUACGGCUGGAAGGCGAAAGAUUUAUCGCCGGAGGAUUGGCCCGCGUCCGAUUAGCUAGUUGGUGAGGUAAUGGCCCACCAAGGCGACGAUCGGUAGCUGGUCUGAGAGGAUGAUCAGCCACAUUGGGACUGAGACACGGCCCAAACUCCUACGGGAGGCAGCAGUGGGGAAUAUUGGACAAUGGGCGAAAGCCUGAUCCAGCCAUGCCGCGUGAGUGAUGAAGGCCUUAGGGUUGUAAAGCUCUUUCACCCACGACGAUAAUGACGGUAGUGGGAGAAGAAGCCCCGGCUAACUUCGCGCCAGCAGCCGC
rnacentral:rRNA from 1 species